ensembl:lncRNA
GGAAGAUGCUUUAACAUUAGAGUAACAGUUGUCAAAAUCGAAGCUAGUUAGGUUAUAAUGAACCUUCACAAAUUCUGUCAGGGUGUGAAUUUUGUGCAGUGGAUCGGCUGCAGUUGUCGUCAUGAGAUUUGAUAAUGCGCCACUGUAACUAUCAGUCUGAGACUCUGGCCCCUGACUGUGUUUCAUGUUGUUUUUGAAUGCUGUACAGUAGAAGUAAUUUAUAGACUGAAGGUGCACAUUUCUAUGACUUCCUGAAGGUUGAAUCAUGUUCACACUUCUGAAAACUGAGCAUGUUUUCUUUUCGCGAAAGGUUUUAAUUUGCACUAAUUUCCUUGGUAGAAAGUAGUUGAAAUGAAAAAGCAUUUAUAGGGGGGGGGUCUGCACAGCUAGGUUGUAAUUGAGAAUGUGAGUCUUUGUAAAUUGGAUGACUCUUUAAUGGAGGUGUCACGGAAAUGUACAGUUGGUCAUUUGUUAGCCCUGUAGCCUCAUUUUGACUGAAUAAUUACAUGUAUUGGUCCGCUGCUGACACCUAUUCAGUCUGCCCUUCUGGUCACUUUCACAUAAAUGCAGAAACUAACAGGAAGCACGGUAGCCUAAACCCUUGUUGUGUUUGCUCCUAUGCACUAAAACGGAAAUUCCUCUGAUCGAUAGACUUUUUUUGCUUGGCUCGUCAGUUUGAAGCCCUGCACUUGGAUUAAUGAAGUACAGUUUUACUGUGACAUUUUGUAUAGAGAUCAGUCAUCAAUAUCCUUACCUUGAGAAAUGCCCUUCACUUUCUGUUGAGAAAUACACACCUAGUGCCUUAGAUAUCUAGCAGAAAUGUGUUUAUCGUUUACCUGCGUAUGUAAUGACCUGAUGUGUCACCUCUGGGUUUUGAUUUUCAUUGCAUUCUGUAUUUUAGGAGGAAUUCGUAGUGCCAAAUUCACUCUUUCUGCCCUUUUGUGGCAGUGAAACGCAGUAUGUUUCCGAACCUAAAGGCAUUAAGAAACAAAAAAAAAAAACAAAGCUUGAAUACAUCUGGAUGUAAAAUGACUUGCAUCCUCUGUACUGUUCUGUCAGGGGUUUUGGUUUCUGUAUAGCCACUGUUUUUUUUUUGUUUUGUUUUUUUUAUUCAGAGAAAUGUAUAAUUACCUUCAGUCUCAAAUUGUCAAUGAAAAGCACCUUGCAGUCAUGUUGUUUGGUUUGGUUUUUCAGGGGGUUUUUCUUUUUUUUGUGGGUUGUUUUUUGUAUAUACAGAAAAUGUACAUUUCUUGAACGAGGGAAAAUAUUUAUGUCAUCAAAAGCAGUCAAACAUUAUUUUGUCAAUCUCUUUGAGAUACUUUAGUUCAAUAAAGCACCUUAGCACCUGUGAAUUCUUUUUCUUUCUUUUAUUCUCUGGAGGUUUUUGAGCUUCCUAUUACUCAGACUGCUCAGUCUCAGCCUCUUUGUUCAUCUAUAAAUGACAUCAUCUCUAGCGCCGUAACGCGUAAUGCUGCAUAACCUCCCCCCCCCCCCCCCCCCCCCCCCCUACACACACACACACACACACACACACACACACCUCAAAUCCAGUAUGCAUAUGUGGGACACCACAAAUGAUGUAAUUCCCUUUUUUUUUUUUUUCCUUCCCCUCCUUCACUUCAACUGAUCCUCAUUACACUUUAAUAACAAAGAUUUCUUUCGGAUGUUACCCUAUUACGUUUGCCAUCUGGUUAAAUACUGAUCAGUUGAUCUCCAGUGGUAUUCCUGUGGUCGGGGGAGACCCAGCACCUCAUGUGCUCGAGGUUCCCUCAUUAAUAGUCCUAGUUUGCUUUGUUUCAGGACAGAAAGGCCCUGCGCUCCCCUGCAGCACCUCUCCUUUGUAAAUCCACCACCUUCCCACCCCCAUGUCUUUCUCCCACUGUCUACCAGCUGGUAAAAUUAAACGCUGAGUGUUUCUGACUGGCCCAAAGUCCCUGCUCUCCAGCCCGUUGACUGUCCCCAUGGCAACAAGCUCAUCUGGAGCUGCUGAUGGAGGCUGUCGUCCUACGAG